UAGUUGAAGCAAUUGGAAGUUGGGGAGUUUAGUUGUAAGGAAUGCUAACUUCAAGCAUUGUAUGUAAAUUUUUCCCACCAAAUGAAUUUGAUGAAGACACAUCAUAACACCCCACCUCUUCAAUAUUUAUCUAGCAAAAUAAGAUUAGAAAGAGGGAAAAAUAAAUGAAACCCCAACUCUUCUCCAUGAAGCUCCAUCACCGCCAUCAUCAUCUCUUCCUCUCCUUGUGCGCGGUGGACGACGGCGGCCAUAACUCAACGAUCCGACAACCGUUUUCGAUGGUUCAAGCUCGGUUGGAAAGCCAACACAUAGAGGAAUAUGACUCGGCGAGGCGACUACCAACGGAACACGGUACUUAAAGAACGCGAUAUGACCUUAGCUUUUGGAUAGAAAACUUGUUAUGUUUCAGGUGUAUAGUAUCGAAUGUAACGGACUUCUAUCCUUGUUCCAGAAGUUCGCGAGUACAGAAAGAAGGAACCAAUCAGUAGUGCUGCAGUAGUCGAGUUCUAGAGUGUAAUUAUGUUUUGUCAAACGGUUUUAAAUGUUUUGUUUAUACUCUGAUAUGUAUAAAGGCUUUAGACUGUGCUUUUAAACCGUUUACAUAUAUGUGAGAAACAGGGCUUUGCUUGAUAUGAGAUAUCGUUUUGUAAGACCCUGAUUUCUAAAGAUCGUCUUGUAUCGUUUAAAGAAGUUUUAUAAAAAAAAACAUUUUGAGAAUGUUUCGCGAAAAAAAUUUAUAGUGAUUUCUAGGCUUGCUACGGGUUUCGGAGCUACCACUCCCAUUCCCUAGCGCCGGUCGCGGCCCUCGAUUUUGGGUCGUGACAGAUAUGCAAGACCCGAGUAGGUCGGUAUUAAGAAUUCUACUACAGAAAGUUUGAUAUUAGAAUUCAUAGAUGUUUGUAUUUGAAAAUGUUUGAUAUGAGCUCAAUAUACGCUAAUCAUGUUUGGGUAUCGGAAAGGAGGAUUAUAAUUUUUGUUAGAUACGUGAGUAACUCGGUUGAACUAUCUUGGGACCCGUAUCUAGUGAGUAACUCGGUUGAACUAUCUCGGGACUCACACCUUGGGGUUAAGCAGUGACAUGAUGUAACUCGGUUGAACUAUCUCGGGACCGAACCACUUGGAUUAAAAUGAUUUGAUAUAAUAUUAAUGGAUACAAUAUGAGUAGGAUACAGAUAGGAAAUAGUAUGAAUUUAAGAUUAUGGUUUCAUCGGAUCAAAUAUUGUUGUUUGUUUUAAUAUAUGUUUAUGCAAUUUAUAUUUAUAAUAUCUUAAGUAAAUGCGAACUCACUCAGCGUUGUCUGACCCCCCAAUAGUGUUAUGUUUCAGGUGUAUAGUUUCGAAUGUAACGGACUUCUAUCCUUGUUCCAUAAGUCCGCGAGUACAGAAAGAAGGAACCAAUCAGUAGUGCUGCAGUAGUCGAGUCCUAGAGUGUAAUUAUGUUUUGUCAAACGGUUUUAAAUGUUUUGUUUAUACUCUGAUAUGUAUAAAGGCUUUAGACUGCGCUUUUAAACCGUUUACAUAUAUGUGAGAAACAGGGCAUUGCUUGAUAUGAGAUAUCUCUUUGUAAGACCCUGAUUUCUAAAGAUCGUCUUGUAUCGUUUAAAGAAGUUUUAUAAAAAAAAACAUUUUGAGAAUGUUUCGCGAAAAAAAAUUAUAGUGAUUUCUAGGCUUGCUACGGGUUUCGGAGCUACCACUCCCAUUCCCUAGCGCCGGUCGCGGCCCUCGAUUUUGGGUCGUGACAAAGGUGGUAUCAGAGCAAUGGUUAGAUUCAUAGGUCAUUGCUUAUAGGUGAUCAUCUAUACCUAGGUUUGACAUUGUCACUAGGUUAAGAUAGGAACUACUGCAGCUAUAGGAUUCGAGUCAUGUCAUUGAUAAGUUCUUGUUUGUUUUCAAAUCUUCUAACUCUCCUUGAUAGGAUGCGAGUCCAUAUGAUCGAUUGCUUUUUCAAACGUUGUUUUUUUAAAUAGAAUAUGUGUAUGCGAUAAGGACGCGUGUUUCAUUUAUGAUAGAGUAUGCAUACGCAAUGUGAAUACGGAGAAGGACAUGUGACAAAUGGACUCUCACAAGCAUGUAUGGGCAAGAGGAGGCUCAGCCAUAUGUAUUGGUCCUCGUAUGCCUUGUCCUAUCACAUUUCUUUUAGUAGCUAUGGUUUGGCCAAUAAGGCAAGCCAUUAUGGCAUAGAUGUAUCGUAUCAGAUAUAGAUUGUUAUCGAAUAGACGAUGCACUAGGAAGAAUGAGAACCUAGGUGCAUAACCUAAGAUAUUCCUUUAGGAAGGAAAUAAAACGUAGAGAACAUACAUUGAAAGAGUUCGACAUACUCUACAAAAUGUCAAAUAUGCACAAAUAACCUUAGCUAUGCCCUGAACAUAGCUUGAUAGUAUGUGAUAGAAAGAUAGAGAACGAGAAUAAAAUACACCAAUAAGACAGAUAAAAAGCCAUAUAAAGAAAAGUUAAAAUGUCACAGAAGUUCCGAUCUGAGUUGACUUAUGGUGUUUACAAAAGAAAUAAAGUUUUAAGAUUUACUUUAAAAGUAUAAUUGUGCACAGACCCAACAUGUAGUAUGCCAUAGGAAGCAUGAAAGACAUGAUUGAAAACACAUUGCAGUAUCAGCAUAUAUGUAUAAAUAUUUUGAUAUAAAACCAUAAUUUUACUCUGCAUCAUGCAUUCACUGAUACGAGCAAUUCAAAGAAUUUUAAAUAGCAACUCUUUAGUGAUGAGAGGUGUCAUCACUCUGAUGCGCAAUUAUACUAAAGGUUUUGAAACUAUAUGAUUGAAAUUGUAUUUGAUUUGAAAAGAAAUUGUUUUGAAAGUCCCGCGGGCAAAGUCAAAUUGAUUUGAAACGUAAGAAAACCAGAUGGAAUUUCCUGUGACACCAAUAUAUAAACUUUAAUAAAGAGCAAUAACAAAUAUAAAAGAUUGUACAAAGAUAGUUUAAUGGUGAACAUAGUUCACACCUCAUAGGUAGAACCUAUGAAAGUAAGAAUCGUAUAAGGCAAGUAAGCCACCUCAAGAGUAAGAGGUGCAGUGAUGAUCAAAAAUAACGACAUCGGGAUAUAUGAUCGAUAUGGAUAAUAAACACGAUGGUGUGAACUCAUGGUACGCGAGUAUAUAAGCUCUAAAGGAAAACAAGGAUAUAUACCGAUAAAUCUUAGAGGAAGCAAAUAAAGAAAGAAGUCUUUAAGGCUAGUAAGCUAUAUAGGCAUCAAGGGAUGUAAGGAAAUAGGAAGGAAGGACUCAACAAAGGGGUUGAGCUAUAACACGAAGAUGUUAUCGGACAGCUCGAAACAAAAGGCAAUAAAAAAGGACACCCAUAAAAGCUUGAACUAAGAUACCUACAAAGAGCCAUUCAAGUGUAAGGAUGUAUAAGAAUUAAAAAAUAAUGGACGAAGAAUAUGAAGAGAUCGAUUAAGUUAAUCGACAUAGAUAAGACUUAAACAACCUACGUAUAUUGUGUGACACUCGAUAAAGGUAAUCGAGGGAUGGAAUUAAAGACGUUAUAUAGAAAAUAACAAGAAGAUAAAAGGAAUCGACUUCUAUGUAGUCAUAGACACACGGUGUCAAGAAGGAUAGAGCUGAUCUAAGUAUAAGAUCAACCUUACUAGUAGAUGAGAUGUCGGUAGGAAGAUGAGAAUUAGAUAUGCACAAGACCAAGGGUACAACCUGUCGAUGAACACAAAAGAGUAACCUCCAACUCUUAUAGAUAGUAGAGGUGGGAGAUAUUAAAGAAAGAAGUACACGAUGAUCGCAAAACGUAUUAGACGAUCGCGAGGUAUAAUAAGACAAAGAUAAGAACUUCACCGGACGAUGGUAAAAUAUUACAAGUCCUAAAUUCACUAAGAUUGAAGGAUCUAGAGCUACGAUAUAUCGUGGAUAAGGACUCGAUUCAUAUCGAGUAAUGCCAGGCGGGCAUUCCACUUCAUGAGAUUCAUGAAACUAUGAAGUGCAUGAUUAUUAGUGAAGGAAAAGAAAUUCCUAACCACCAUAAGACAUGAAUAAGAGUGUUGGACGAAAGGCCGUAUAAAUCGAACUAUAAAGACAAUAGUUAGUAAAUGAAUAUUAAGGGGUAUCGCAACAGAAGAGAAAGAGGAGAAGGUAAACAUGUACGUGAUUAAAUACAUGGAGGAAAGAAAUGCCAAGAAAGACGACGUCGGAUGUCGAUAAGCUCAAAAGUUAAUAAGAAGCGGGAAUGGAACAGAAGCUCAUUAAAGAAUAGUACAACUUAAUGAAUAAGAGCUAGGACUAAAAUUAAGGUCUUGAGAAACAAGCGAAAGAGAAUCGAUAGUACUAUUAUGGAAUGAUAGUUUUUGACGAAUAUUGAGAGAAGCAAAGCACUAAAGGAUAUGAGACAAGAAAAGACUUUAGUUCGGGAUAAGGAAUAGACGUUAAGUAACAAUACAUCAUAAAAUAAGAAAUAUAUGGAAGAAUGAGCUUCGAGAUGAGGUAAAGGAUGUUGUGAACUAUACGAAUACCAGUUUCGUUCAGUGAAGAAACGCUUCUGAAUAAGCAAUUUGGACAGCCAAAUUAAGCUAGAUAAGCAAGAUUUUGGACAAGUUUAAGAUAACUUGAAAUAGUAAGUCACUCAAUUGGAUUGGUUAAUUAAUCAAAUAGUGCUUUAAUUAAUACUAAGAAUAGUUGAAGAAAAGUUCAAAAUUGAAAGUCAAAGUUGAUAUCAACAAGAAAAGUCCAAAAUUGGCAUUAAGAACGAUACUACCCUUAUGGUAUUAAGGAGCAAACGACAAAUAAAGAUUGACGAAUACCAACGUUAAGAAGUGAAAAGAUGUGAACCUAUCAAGGCAAGAAGUUGAUAGACGAUGAGAUUAACAUCUCAAUGAGAAUUGUAUAAGGAGCAGCUACGUGCGAACGAAGGACGUUCGUGAAGAGAUUAGUCAUCUCUUUUAUAACAGACAUUAAGCAUCACCAUACGAUUAAGUAUGAUACAGAAGGACGUAAGGACAAGACCAACUAUCUUUAAGGAUGUUAGCAAUUAUCGUAAAAUAAAUCAAACACUUGAUAAUAAAGACGAGUAACUAGAAAACCGUCAAGAAAUGACGAUGUAAGAAACUUUAAGGAACACAAUGGAUUACAAAGGCGAAGUUAUUAUAACUUUAUGAUCUGGGUAACGAUAGUAUAAAAAGUAAGACUUUAAGUCUUUAUAAGAAGCAAUAAGAAUUGCUAAGAAGUGUAAUACUAGAUGGAUAAGAGUAUUACUAUAAUUAUGAAAAUUCGAGGACGAAUUUUUAUAAGGGGGGAAGAAUGUAAUACCCCGUAUUUUUAAAGUACCAAGUAAUGUGCCACGAAGCAUAAGUACGAGAACUUAAUCAAGGACAUCGGAAUUAAGUUCGAGAAAUAAGAAUUUAGAUCGAAGCGGGUCUAUUAAAAUUAUCGUGAAAUAAUAAAUUAAGUGGAAUUUAUUAUUUGAUAAAUUGGAAUUUAGCGGGACUAAGAAAAAUAAAUAAAUUAAAAUAAAAUAAAUGGUAAGUCCCGAGUUAAUUUUACGAUAAAAUUCGUAAAAUAAAUUUAUGGAUCAAAGAUUAAAUUUUAUUGAAAUUGGACGAAAGGACUUUAAUUAAACGGGAUUCGAUUAUCGGCAAAGGAAAAGGAUAUAAAUAAAUUAUUUGGACCCGGAUAAAUAAAUAAUGCGACAAAAUCCAUUAUUUAUUGAUAAGGAAACAUCGUCAAGGUUCCGUUAAUUGUAAAAAGAAUUUGGAAUUUAGUUGAAGCAAUUGGAAGUUGGGGAGUUUAGUUGUAAGGAAUGCUAACUUCAAGCAUUGUAUGUAAAUUUUUCCCACCAAAUGAAUUUGAUGAAGACACAUCAUAACACUCCACCUCUUCAAUAUUUAUCUAGCAAAAUAAGAUUAGAAAGAGGGAAAAAUAAAUGAAACCCCAACUCUUCUCCAUGAAGCUCCAUCACCGCCAUCAUCAUCUCUUCCUCUCCUUGUGCGCGGUGGACGACGGCGGCCAUAACUCAACGAUCCGACAACCGUUUUCGAUGGUUCAAGCUCGGUUGGAAAGCCAACACAUAGAGGAAUAUGUGUUAUGUUUCAGGUGUAUAGUAUCGAAUGUAACAGACUUCUAUCCUUGUUCCAGAAGUUCGCGAGUACAGAAAGAAGGAACCAAUCAGUAGUGCUGCAGUAGUCGAGUCCUAGAGUGUAAUUAUGUUUUGUCAAACGGUUUUAAAUGUUUUGUUUAUACUCUGAUAUGUAUAAAGGCUUUAGACUGCGCUUUUAAACCGUUUACAUAUAUGUGAGAAACAGGGCUUUGCUUGAUAUGAGAUAUCGCUUUGUAAGACCCUGAUUUCUAAAGAUCGUCUUGUAUCGUUUAAAGAAGUUUUAUAAAAAAAAACAUUUUGAGAA